rnacentral:rRNA from 1 species
GACGAACGCUGGCGGCGUGCUUAACACAUGCAAGUCGAGCGGAAAGGCCCUUCGGGGUACUCGAGCGGCGAACGGGUGAGUAACACGUGAGUAACCUGCCCCAGACUUUGGGAUAACCCUCGGAAACGGGGGCUAAUACCGGAUACGACACAGCUUCGCAUGGGGUCUGUGUGGAAAGUUUUUCGGUUUGGGAUAGGCUCGCGGCCUAUCAGCUUGUUGGUGGGGUGAUGGCCUACCAAGGCGACGACGGGUAGCCGGCCUGAGAGGGCGACCGGCCACACUGGGACUGAGACACGGCCCAGACUCCUACGGGAGGCAGCAGUGGGGAAUAUUGCACAAUGGGCGGAAGCCUGAUGCAGCGACGCCGCGUGAGGGAUGACGGCCUUCGGGUUGUAAACCUCUUUCAGCAGGGACGAAGCGUAAGUGACGGUACCUGCAGAAGAAGCGCCGGCCAACUACGUG